AAUUUGUGCUCCAUUGGUUGUUUUCGAUUUUUUACCAACAUUUGCUGUGAUGGUGAUAUAGUGUGAUGUUCUUACUGGGCUAGUGUAGCUCAUUCCUUAUUUAACCAUUUCAGAUCAGGAGGCCCUGGUUCCUGAGCCCGAUCCACAAGAAGACAGCGAGUAGAUGCUAGAUGUUUUAUAGUUUUCUUUAUUUUUCUCAUUUCUCGUAUUUCUUUUAGAGAGCUUAUUCAGUGACAUUGUUUAGUACUUU
rnacentral:lncRNA from 1 species